GACGAACGCUGGCGGCGUGCUUAACACAUGCAAGUCGAACGGAAAGGCCCUGCUUUUGUGGGGUGCUCGAGUGGCGAACGGGUGAGUAACACGUGAGUAACCUGCCCUUGACUUUGGGAUAACUUCAGGAAACUGGGGCUAAUACCGGAUAGGAGCUCCUGCUGCAUGGUGGGGGUUGGAAAGUUUCGGCGGUUGGGGAUGGACUCGCGGCUUAUCAGCUUGUUGGUGGGGUAGUGGCUUACCAAGGCUUUGACGGGUAGCCGGCCUGAGAGGGUGACCGGCCACAUUGGGACUGAGAUACGGCCCAGACUCCUACGGGAGGCAGCAGUGGGGAAUAUUGCACAAUGGGCGGAAGCCUGAUGCAGCAACGCCGCGUGCGGGAUGACGGCCUUCGGGUUGUAAACCGCUUUCGCCUGUGACGAAGCGUGAGUGACGGUAAUGGGUAAAGAAGCACCGGCUAACUACGUGCCAGCAGCCGCGGUGAUACGUAGGGUGCGAGCGUUGUCCGGAUUUAUUGGGCGUAAAGGGCUCGUAGGUGGUUGAUCGCGUCGGAAGUGUAAUCUUGGGGCUUAACCCUGAGCGUGCUUUCGAUACGGGUUGACUUGAGGAAGGUAGGGGAGAAUGGAAUUCCUGGUGGAGCGGUGGAAUGCGCAGAUAUCAGGAGGAACACCAGUGGCGAAGGCGGUUCUCUGGGCCUUUCCUGGCGCUGAGGAGCGAAAGCGUGGGGAGCGAACAGGCUUAGAUACCCUGGUAGUCCACGCUGUAAACGGUGGGUACUAGGUGUGGGGUCCAUUCCACGGGUUCCGUGCCGUAGCUAACGCUUUAAGUACCCCGCCUGGGGAGUACGGCCGCAAGGCUAAAACUCAAAGGAAUUGACGGGGCCCCGCACAAGCGGCGGAGCAUGCGGAUUAAUUCGAUGCAACGCGUAGAACCUUACCUGGGUUUGACAUGGAUCGGGAGUGCUCAGAGAUGGGUGUGCCUCUUUUGGGGUCGGUUCACAGGUGGUGCAUGGCUGUCGUCAGCUCGUGUCGUGAGAUGUUGGGUUAAGUCCCGCAACGAGCGCAACCCUUGUUCACUGUUGCCAGCACGUUAUGGUGGGGACUCAGUGGAGACCGCCGGGGUCAACUCGGAGGAAGGUGGGGAUGACGUCAAGUCAUCAUGCCCCUUAUGUCCAGGGCUUCACGCAUGCUACAAUGGCUGGUACAGAGAGUGGCGAGCCUGUGAGGGUGAGCGAAUCUCGGAAAGCCGGUCUCAGUUCGGAUUGGGGUCUGCAACUCGACCUCAUGAAGUCGGAGUCGCUAGUAAUCGCAGAUCAGCAACGCUGCGGUGAAUACGUUCCCGGG
rnacentral:rRNA from 1 species